UACGGGGGGAGCAAGCGUUGUUCGGAUUUACUGGGCGUAAAGGGCGCGUAGGCGGCCUCCGCAAGUCAGUUGUGAAAUCUCCGAGCUUAACUCGGAAAGGUCAACUGAUACUGCGGGGCUAGAGUGCGGAGGGGGCAACUGGAAUUCUUGGUGUAGCGGUGAAAUGCGUAGAUAUCAAGAGGAACACCUGCGGCGAAGGCGGGUUGCUGGGCCGACACUGACGCUGAGGCGCGAAAGCUAGGGGAGCGAACGGG
rnacentral:rRNA from 1 species